rnacentral:misc_RNA from 1 species
UGACCUUCUGCUUUAGAGAC